AACGAACGCUGGCGGCAUGCCUAACACAUGCAAGUCGAACGAGACCUUCGGGUCUAGUGGCGCACGGGUGCGUAACGCGUGGGAACCUGCCCUUAGGUUCGGAAUAACUCCCCGAAAGGGGUGCUAAUACCGGAUAAUGUCUUCGGACCAAAGAUUUAUCGCCUUUGGAUGGGCCCGCGUUGGAUUAGCUAGUUGGUAGGGUAAAAGCCUACCAAGGCGACGAUCCAUAGCUGGUCUGAGAGGAUGAUCAGCCACACUGGGACUGAGACACGGCCCAGACUCCUACGGGAGGCAGCAGUGGGGAAUAUUGGAAAAUGGGCGAAAGCCUGAUCCAGCAAUGCCGCGUGAGUGAUGAAGGCACUAGGGUUGUAAAGCUCUUUUAACCGGGAUGAUAAUGACAGUACCGGGAGAAUAAGCUCCGGCUAACUCCGUG
rnacentral:rRNA from 1 species